rnacentral:misc_RNA from 1 species
GUCUGGCCUUGAGUUAUCCAUGUCGAAGGAGCAUCAUCAGUGUAUUCUUCUUUACUUGCAUUUGCCUUAUUAUUACCAUUGUAUUAUUAUUGGAAGUUAUAAAUGUUAAAAGAAGCUGGCAUUUAAUAGAAUGCCAAAGCUUUUUGCAUUGGAUGUGGAUUAAUUGUGUGCAAAAACAGGCAGCAAAGACCAGCUGGCUAAUUACUUUCACACAAUUGAAUAUUCUCUAUUUAGGUUUAUGGUGAUCUCUUUGGAGAAGGUAGAGACUGGGUUGGGGAGGGGAAGGAGGAGGCUGGAUUGGAAUUAGGCUGUCUGCAAAUAAUUUUUUUUUAGCUUUAUUUGUGUUUAUGAAUAAAAGUAAUGUUCCCAAAUGGUGACAAAGUCAUGUAAAUUAUUUGAAGACAUAAGCUGAUGUCCUUAUUUGGCCAUAGGGGAUGAUAAUUGGAUUGUUUCUUUUGAGGGAGGGGGGGUCUACUUUGUCAUUCUGAUCCAGUUGUUGAAGAAAGGCAAGUUGGCCUGAAUUUUUGGGACCAUCCCUACUACCCAUGCAUGCUUUGGUCUUGAAGGAGUCAUAUCAUGACCCCUUGUAACAUCCUCGUGUAUUUUACAAUUUUGUUUAGGAAGUAUGAGGAUACUGCUUCAUAAGUCAGAUUGACAAAGAAAAAGUAUCUUUGAUUAGUACUGCAUCUUAUUGUUUAUGAUUCAAAGAGUAAAUCAAAUGCCUCAGAAGAAUUCCAAUACGUACAUAUAAUUGGCAGCAAUAAUAAAUCUUUGUGCCUUAUUUUCAUGUUGCUAGAGUAAAUUUUUCUGGAUGCAUGAAGUUUUUACCAUUCUCUUUAUGCCUGCAUUGGCAGCCAUGCACAGGAGAAUAAUCAUAAAUAUUUCGGGCAAGUAAUAACUUAGUUUCCCACCAAGUGAGAGCAUAUAUAUAUAUAGUUUCUGAUCAAUGCCUUUUUAUGACAGUUAAAUUAGUAUCUAAAAAAAUUGUUAUGGGUUAAGUUGCCUUUGAGAUAUAUCUUCUUCGCUGAAAGGCUAUAGGUCCCUCUGUUGUACAUAUUUUCACUCUUCAGGUCUACUGUUAUAUCCAAUUUACUUUAUCAUGUUAAACAGGUAUUGGCAUAAAGCACAGUAAUUCAUGUCACUAAAUGUGUUUAAUCAGUUCAGUUUAGAAAUGAAAGAUUAUCAUUUAUAUGCUAGUUUCAUUUUUAGUUGUAAAUAUAUAAUAAUACUCUUUGCCCCCUUCUGUUUGCAGAUGCUGUGAUUCCAAUCACUUGCU